UACGGAGGGUGCAAGCGUUGUUCGGAUUUAUUGGGCGUAAGGCGCGUGUAGGCGGUUUCUUAAGUCUGAUGUGAAAGCCCCGGGCUUAACCUGGGAAUGGCGGUUGAAACUAGUCGACUCGAAUCUGGCAGAGGGGGGUGGAAUUCCACGUGUAGCAGUGAAAUGCGUAGAGAUGUGGAGGAACACCGAUGGCGAAGGCAGCCCCCUGGGCUGAGAUUGACGCUCAGGCACGAAAGCGUGGGGAGCAAACAGG
rnacentral:rRNA from 1 species